UUAUAUUAUAGUUUAUAAAAAUUAAAUUUAAUAAAAAGUUUUAAUUUAGCUUAUGGAAUUAAUAAAUAAAUUUAUUACAUGUGAGUUUUAGCGUAAUUUUUAAAUAAGUUUUUGGCAGUAAUUAAAUUUAAAUUUAUAAGAAAUUAUGAUUUAGGUAUUUAUAAGAGUAUUAACAUAAUUUGUGCCAGCAGUUGCGGUUAUACAGAUAAUGCAAUUAAUUUUAUUAAGUAUAUAAUAAUUAGUUAAGAAUAAUAUAAUUUUAUAUUUAUUUGGUGAAAUAUAUAAUUAUAAAUUUAUUAUGUGAAUAAAUUUGAUUUAUGAAAUUUGAUAUAUAAACUAGGAUUAGAUACCCUAUUAUUUUAAAUGUAAAAAUUUAAAACUUGGUUAGUAAUAGUUAUGAUCUUUAAAAUUAAAAAUUUUGGCGGUAUUUUAGUCUAUUUAGAGGAACCUGUUCUAUAAUUGAUAUUCCACGAUUUAUUUUACUUAUUUUAAAGUUUGUAUAUCGUCGUGAAAAAUAUUUUAUAAAAAAAUAAAUAUUUAAGAUUUUAAAUUUUAAAAAGAUAUCAGAUCAAGCUGCAGCUUAUAGAUAAGAAGAAAUGGGUUACAAUAAAUUUAUUUAUGGAAAAUAAAUUGAAAAUUUAUUUAAAAUUGGAUUUAAUAGUAAUAAAAUUUAAUUAAAUUUUAUGAUUUUAGCUCUAGAAUAUGUACAUAUCGCCCGUCGCUUUCAUUUAAAAUGAAAUAAGUCGUAACAUAGUAGAUGUACUGGAAAGUGUAUCUAGUAAGGC
rnacentral:ncRNA from 1 species